rnacentral:rRNA from 1 species
CAACCUGCCCACCACUUGGGGAUAACCUUGCGAAAGUAAGACUAAUACCCAAUGAUAUCUCUAGAAGACAUCUGAAAGAGAUUAAAGAUUUAUCGGUGAUGGAUGGGGAUGCGUCUGAUUAGCUUGUUGGCGGGGUAACGGCCCACCAAGGCGACGAUCAGUAGGGGUUCUGAGAGGAAGGUCCCCCACAUUGGAACUGAGACACGGUCCAAACUCCUACGGGAGGCAGCAGUGAGGAAUAUUGGUCAAUGGGCGAGAGCCUGAACCAGCCAAGUAGCGUGCAGGAUGACGGCCCUAUGGGUUGUAAACUGCUUUUAUAAGGGAAUAAAGUGAGUCUCGUGAGACUUCUUGCAUGUACCUUAUGAAUAAGGACCGGCUAAUUCCGUGCCAGCAGCCGCGGUAAUACGGAAGGUCCGGGCGUUAUCCGGAUUUAUUGGGUUUAAAGGGAGCGCAGGCCGGAGAUUAAGCGUGUUGUGAAAUGUAGACGCUCAACGUCUGCACUGCAGCGCGAACUGGUUUCCUUGAGUACGCACAAAGUGGGCGGAAUUCGUGGUGUAGCGGUGAAAUGCUUAGAUAUCACGAAGAACUCCGAUUG